GGGCGCGUAGCUCAGCGGGAGAGCACUCCCUUCACACGGGAGGGUCACAGGUUCAAUCCCUGUCGCGCCCACCA
rnacentral:tRNA from 1 species